rnacentral:rRNA from 1 species
CGUGUCGUGAGAUGUUGGGUUAAGUCCCGCAACGAGCGCAACCCUUAUUACUAGUUGCCAGCAUUUAGUUGGGCACUCUAGUGAGACUGCCGGUGACAAACCGGAGGAAGGUGGGGAUGACGUCAAAUCAUCAUGCCCCUUAUGACCUGGGCUACACACGUGCUACAAUGGCGUAUACAACGAGUUGCCAACCCGCGAGGGUGAGCUAAUCUCUUAAAGUACGUCUCAGUUCGGAUUGUAGGCUGCAACUCGCCUACAUGAAGUCGGAAUCGCUAGUAAUCGCGGAUCAGCACGCCGCGGUGAAUACGUUCCCGGGUCUUGUACACACCGCCCGUCACACCAUGAGAGUUUGUAACACCCAAAGCCGGUGGGGUAACCUUCGAGAGCCAGCCGUCUAAGGUGGGACAGAUGAUUAGGGU